GCCCAGGUGGCGGAAUCGGCAGACGCGCAGGCUUGAGGGGCCUGUGGGAGCAAUCCUGUGUGGGUUCAAAUCCCACCCUGGGCACAA
rnacentral:tRNA from 1 species